rnacentral:rRNA from 1 species
AAUGGGCGGAAGUCUGAACCAGCCAUCCCGCGUGUGUGAUGAAGGCCUCUGGGUUGUAAAGCACUUUUGUAUGGGAAGAAGACAGGGAUUUAUCCUGGAGAGACGGUACCAUAAGAAUAAGCACCGGCUAACUCCGUGCCAGCAGCCGCGGUAAUACGGAGGGUGCAAGCGUUAUCCGGAAUCACUGGGUUUAAAGGGUACGUAGGCGGGGCCUUAAGUCAGAAGUGAAAGCUCAUCGCUUAACGAUGAAAUGCUUUUGAAACUGAGGUUCUUGAGUCUGGUAGAGGUAUGCGGAAUGCGUCAUGUAGCGGUGAAAUGCAUAGAUAUGACGUAGAACACCAAUAGCGAAGGCAGCAUACUAGGCCAGUACUGACGCUGAGGUACGAAAGCGUGGGUAGCGAACAGGAUU